rnacentral:rRNA from 1 species
UACGGAGGGAGCUAGCGUUGUUCGGAAUUACUGGGCGUAAAGCGCACGUAGGCGGCUUUGUACGUUAGAGGUGAAAGCCCGGGGCUCAACUCCGGAACUGCCUUUAAGACUGCAUCGCUUGAAUCCAGGAGAGGUGAGUGGAAUUCCGAGUGUAGAGGUGAAAUUCGUAGAUAUUCGGAAGAACACCAGUGGCGAAGGCGGCUCACUGGACUGGUAUUGACGCUGAGGUGCGAAAGCGUGGGGAGCAAACAGG